rnacentral:rRNA from 1 species
CCUACGGGCGGCAGCAGUGGGGAAUAUUGGACAAUGGGGGGAACCCUGAUCCAGCCAUGCCGCGUGUGUGAAGAAGGCCCUCGGGUUGUAAAGCACUUUCAGUGAGGAAGAACGCCUGGUGGUUAAUACCCAUCAGGAAAGACAUCACUCACAGAAGAAGCACCGGCUAACUCCGUGCCAGCAGCCGCGGUAAUACGGAGGGUGCGAGCGUUAAUCGGAAUUACUGGGCGUAAAGCGCGCGUAGGUGGCUUGAUAAGCCGGUUGUGAAAGCCCCGGUCUCAACCUGGGAACGGCAUCCGGAACUGUCAAGCUAGAGUGCAGGAGAGGAAGGUAGAAUUCCCGGUGUAGCGGUGAAAUGCGUAGAGAUCGGGAGGAAUACCAGUGGCGAAGGCGGCCUUCUGGACUGACACUGACACUGAGGUGCGAAAGCGUGGGUAGCAAACAGGAUUAGAUACCCUUGUAGUC